GUGAGGGAGAGGUUUUUGGAUUGUAAACCCCUUUUCUCAGGGAAGAAGAUUCUGACGGUACCUGAGGAAUAAGCCUCGGCUAACUCCGUGCCAGCAGCCGCGGUAAUACGGAGGAGGCAAGCGUUAUCCGGAAUUAUUGGGCGUAAAGCGUUCGUAGGUUGCCAUUCAAGUCUGCUGUCAAAGACCCGGGCUUAACUCGGGAAAGGCAGUGGAAACUGAAUAGCUAGAGUACGGUAGGGGUAGAGGGAAUUCCCGGUGUAGCGGUGAAAUGCGUAGAUAUCGGGAAGAACACCGGCGGCGAAAGCGCUCUACUGGGCCGUAACUGACACUGAGGGACGAAAGCUAGGGGAGCGAAUGGGAUUAGA
rnacentral:rRNA from 1 species